AUGGCCGCGCGGCCGGCCGUCGCGGCGGCGGCGGCGGCGGCGGUGGCGCUGGUGGUGGCCGCCUCCGCGCUGCUGUGCGCCUCGGCGGCAGCGGCAGCGGCGGGCGGGCCCCACAUGGCGGACCUCAGCGUGCUGCUGCCCCCGCGCAUGACCAGGCCCGUCGAGUACCGACUCGUCGGCGGGGACGGCUGCUUCACCUGGUCAUUGGAUCAUCAUGAUAUUAUAUCAGUUAGGCCAGAGUACAACGACAGCAGCAGAUGCUCAACGAGCGCUCGUUUGGCAUCAAUCGCCCCUUACAGUGGCCGCAAGGAGACCUCUGUCUACGCCACUGAUAUUAUUAGUGGAAUCACAAUACACUGCAAAGUUUUCGUCGACAAAAUCUCUCGGAUCAGGAUUUUCCAUCAUUCUGUUAAAAUUGACCUGGAUGAAAUCGCCACAUUGCGUGUUCAUGCCUUUGAUGAUGAAGAAAACGUGUUCUCGACAUUGGUGGGAUUGCAGUUUAUGUGGCAGCUUACCCCGACGACGCUUGAUAACAGUAACCAUCAUCUUGCUCAUAUUCCACUGAAAGAAACACAUUUAAGUGACUGCAGUGGUUUUUGUGUUGAGAUGAAUGCGCGGUUUGAGCUUGAAGAUAGGGAUCUUGGUUCUGAUUUCUUUGUUGUGAAGGGUGUUGGGAUUGGCCAAGAGGUCGUUAGUGCUCAGUUAUUUGAACCACAGUUUGAGCAUGUGAGUGACACGAUCACUUUAACUGUCGCUGAAGCUAUGUCGCUAGAGCCCCCAUCACCCGUCCUUGUAACUCUUGGUGUCUUGGUGAAUUUCAAACUCAAAAUUUUUCGACAAAAGAUUGCCCAAGUGGUUAAUUUACCAUCACAAUACCAUCUUUGGCAUGUGAAGAACUCUUCGGUGGCCCAAGUGGAUAGUUCCUUGGGUGUUGUACAUACUUUGAGUCUGGGAUUUACUGAUGUCGUUGUUGAAGACACAAGAGUUUCUGGCCACCAACAAGUAUCAUCUCUACGUGUUGUUAUUCCACGGACACUCUUCCUCUAUCUAGUUCCUGUCAUGGAUGAUUCUGGUCAUUUUCAUGGGAUAACAAGUAUUCCAUCCUCAGAAGUGUGGUACGUUUUUCCUGGUCAAAAGUAUAUGGUUCUUGCGAAAGCUUUCGCAGAGGGAUUUGAUGCUAGAGAGAUAUUUAUUACAGAGGAAAACAAUCUUAGAUUGGAGAGCAGCACAGUGGAACUUUGGAACUUAUCACAGGUUCCAGAUAACUCUUUAGGUUCCUAUGAAGUGCAAACUUCUAGAUUGCUAUUCCCCAUUUCUCAGGGAGAAGGAUAUUUAGUUGCUGCCUUAACCUACCAAGCAGAGGCAUCUGGAUCAGCAAAGGUUCUCAAGCUGCUGCAAAAAGUUAAUGUAUGCAGUAAAGUGAAGGCAACCUGGGAUGAGGGAACGGAUAACUCCAAUAUUAUUUAUCUACCCUGGGUUCCUGGAGUUUAUCAGGAGGUCGAACUGAUGGCAGUUGGAGGUUGUGGUAAGACGCCGGAGGACUACAAGUUAUUUUCGUCUGAUGAAAGUGUUGUUUCUGUGUCUGAUUCCCAUACUGUGCGUGCUAAAAAGCCUGGUCAAGCUGUCAUCAAAGUAGUUUCUACCUUUGAUUUCCUGAAUUUUGAUGAGAUCAUUAUUGAAGUAUCCUCUCCUUCAGCACUGGCUAUAUUGCCAAUCUUUCCUGUGGAGGUGGCUGUUGGAACACAACUUCAUGCUGCUGUGGCAUUUAAAACAUCUAAUGGACACCCGUACUCGAGAUGUGAUUAUUUUAAUGCUUUUAUAAGGUGGAGUCUACUAUCUGAGAAUCAAACUUUUGAAGUUGUUGAUGCAUCCGAGGCUUUGACUGUUGAGGCCUUAAAGCAUCAUAGUGGUUCUUCGGCACAAUAUGGCAAUCCUUGUGCCUGGAUAUCUCUAAAUGCAUCUGCUGCUGGUCGAGCCACAAUAGUUGCGACGUUUUCCUCCGAGUCUGAUUCCUAUUUUGAGACUUUUAAUGAGCCUAUUUUUCUGAAGGCCACAUCAAAAGUAUCUGCAUAUUAUCCUCUUCUGGUACUCCAAGCAGGAAAUGGAAACCAGUUUGGUGGUUACUGGGUUGACUUAUCUAGAUUACAGAGUGGAAUUCAGAACAUGGGUAACAACUCUCCCAUGGAGCUGUACUUGGUUCCUGGAUCAACCAUGGAUGUGUUUCUCUUUGGAGGGCCUGAACAGUGGGACAAAGUGGUUGAUUUUGUAGAAACUGUUGAUGUUGUUGGCGCACUAGAAAAUUAUAUCAUUGGCUCUACUGCUGUGCAAAAAAUAUCUAGUGGACUAUACCGAGUUUCUUGCCAAAGCAAAGGGAUCUUUAAACUGUUGUUUUCGCGCGGAAACAUGAUUGGGAAGGAUCAUCCUGUGCCUGCUGUUGCCAAAUCAGAGCUAUCGAUUGUUUGUGACUUACCAUCAGCAGUAACAUUGAUUGCAAAUGAAAAUGAAAACCGGCUUGAUAUUUUGGAAGCGGCAAGUAAAGCUGACCGUAGCCCCAAUAGGCUGCAAGUAUCUCCUGUUGUAAUCUCAAAUGGAAGAAGCAUCCGUCUAGCUGCUGCUGGUGUACAUCAAAAUGGAAGAUUUUUUUCCAAUUCGUCCUCUCUUUGCUUGAGAUGGGAAGUCACUGAAUGUGAGGGACUUGCUUACUUGGAUCAAGACGAAGAUGCUGAAAUGUUAGAACAGUCAUCUUGGGAGAGGUUUCUUGUCCUACACAAUUCGACGGGAAUGUGCACUGCCCGUGCUACAGUCAUUGGCUUUUCUUCCAGAAUUGCUAGCAAAACCCGUGAAGAACACAUGUUUCUUCCAAGUGAACAUGACAAUCUCACAGAUGCUAUUCAGUUGCAGAUUGUUUCUUCGUUAAGAGUCACUCCAGCGUAUGUCUUGUUAGUUUCCCAUCGUGAAGCACAGGAAACCUUAGCUGUCAGUGGUGGCACGUGCUUUCUAGAUGCCUCUACCAAUGACACACAUGUGGUCCAAAUAGUUCAACAUCCAGGGAAGGCCCUAUGUUCCCAGUUGAUUCUUGGUGCUAGAGGCUUAGGCAGUGCUGUCGUGACAAUUCAGGACAUUGGCCUUUCUCCUAGAGUAUCGACUAGUUCUCUGGUUAGAGUUGCAAAUGUUGACUGGAUUCAGAUAUUGUCAGAAGAGCACAUCAGCAUUAUGGAAGGAACCACAAAAGAUUUUCAAAUUUCAGCUGGGACCCAAGAUGGACAAGUCUUCGGAGAUUCUCAGUACAAGUACAUGGGAAUUGAGGUACAUCUUGGUGAUGAAAUUCUGGAUCAUGUUAAUCCAAGCGAGUCGCUGGAUGGACCAAAAUUUUCAGUUAAAGCUGCAAAAACUGGGACAACAUCUCUUUAUGUUAGUACUAAGCAACGCUCUGGGCAAAGAGUUUUGAGUCAGGUUAUAAAUGUGGAAGUGUACAAACCACUGCGAAUACAUCCUGAGUACAUCUACCUCACACCGGGUGCCUCUUUUGUGCUCUCUGUUAAAGGUGGUCCGAAGAUUGGAGUUUCCAUUGAGUACACAAGUUUGAACGUGGGAACGUUGGAAGUUCAAAGUGCUACUGGAAAGCUGUCUGCAAAGACUGUAGGAAACUCUACUGUACGUGCAGCUGUUUUGGCAAAUGGUGGCACCGUCAUUUGUGAAGCUUUUGGAAGAGUUGAAGUGGGUAUCCCAGUGGCUAUGGCAUUGAGUACUCAAAGUGACCGUCUUUGUGUUGGCUGUAGCAUGCCAGUCUACCCUUCCGUGCCUAAGGGGGAUCCAUUUUCCUUCUAUGAAACUUGUCAAAGUUACACUUGGAUGAUAGCAGAUCAGAAGGUUGUGACAUUCCAAUCGGCUAGAUCUUGGCAAAAUGGACUUGAUCAAGGUCUUUAUUCAGAAGGAAAAACCUAUCCAUGGUUAUCCAAUGGAAGUAGCAAUGCUUUUAUCAAUCAUGUGAUUGGAAGAUCUGCAGGGAAAACCAAGAUAUCCAUUUCAGUUACUUGUGAUUUCUCGCUACAUGGCAGUUCUGGAUCUGUAUCUUAUGAUGCCUCCAAGACAAUCCUGGUCGUACCAGAUCCCCCCCUUGCACGUGGACUUCCUAUAACAUGGCUAUUACCACCCUUUUAUACCACCACAGACCUUUUACCUAGAUCCGUUAAUUCAUUUGGAGAACAAGACUCAAAUGGCCUGGAUACUACUAUUGGAUAUUCUCUGUUAAGGAGCAGUGGUAGAAGUGAUCCUGCUAUGCAGAAUGCUAAUGCUAUUGAUGGAAGUAAAAUUAGGACUGGAGAAAGCAAUGCAAUUGAUUGUAUUCAGGCAAAAGAUCACUCAACUGGCAGAACAGAAAUAGCAUCAUGCCUACGAGUUGCUGAGGUUGCACAAGUACGGGUAGCUGCUGCAGAAUCAUCAAUCCAGACAGCCUAUCUUUCUGUAAAUGAUAAAGUUGAACUGGAUGUAAAAUAUGCUGAUGAAUUAGGUUAUACCUUUAGUGAAGCACUUGGAGUAGCACCUGUGAAGAUUGAGACAAACUAUCCUGAUGUUUUGUCAAUUGUCAUGCCCAGAGAUGUCAAUGGUACAUAUGGCGCACAUCAACGUUUUGUGCUACAGGCGAGAAGCCAUGGGACAGCUCUUGUAAGGUUGCACAUCAACCAUCCUUCCAGAAAAUCAGAUUUCAUAAUGGUAUCUGUUGGUGCGCGAAUGUAUCCUAGAGAUGUGGUGAUUCAUUCUGGCCAACACCUGAACUUUACUAUUAUCGGGGACCGCAUGGAUGCGCGUGGACCUGGCCAGUGGUUAAGUACCAAUGAAAAAGUUAUGCAUGUUAAUCAAAUAACUGGUGAAGCACAUGCAUGUGGUGAAGGUAUAGCAGAAGUGAUUUUUAAAGGCCCAAAUCUGAAGUUGCGAACAACUGUCAAUGUGCUCAAGGUGAACCAGAUAGUUGUUGAUGCUCCUGCGGAGAUUCUGACGAAUGCUGCUGCCCCACCUGAUGGAUACAAGUUCUCUGUGAAAUUAAGUGAUUCAGCCGGGCAUAGCACAGAGUCCUCUGUGAAUCAGAUAAAUGCCCCAUUUGACUGCAAGGUCGAACCUUCUUUUGUUGGGUUUGUUGAGCCAUGGAGUGACCGUGCUGUGAAGAAAUCAUACUGUGUAUUUCAUCCGUACUCGCCUGCACAGCUGUUGCCUGUUAAGUCGAACCCAAAAGACGGAAUUUUACACAUUUCAGUUCGUGCAAAUCUAAAAGAAGAUUCAAUGGUGACCGGAUCUGCACAUGCACUGUUUGUCAAAGGGUUUUACAUUAAAGAACCUGGAAUGUUAAACUUGACUCCAAGCUGCAACCAUAGCGUCAUCAUUAUUGGAGGGAACACUGAUGUUGAGUUAUUUUGGAGUGCUAAAGAUUUAAUGUCGGUCAGUCUUGUUGACACAAAUGAGAACAUUGGUGGUCCUAGUCAAGUUGUUUACCGGGUUGAAGCACUCAAAAGGCAACCUUUCGCUGACAAGGUCACUAUAAUUCUUCCAGCCACUGGCCAGACUGAAGAAUUAGAAGUUAAUUAUGUUACAGGAGACAGAACAGAGCCAUCAUCGUCGUCAGGCUUAACCACAUUUGGUCUUAUCCUCACAUGCAUCAUCGUGCCAGCAGGUACACUCUGGGUCAUCAUGAAGCUGCUGGAGAAACCGGCCCGACAGGCACCACCACGGCACGCGCCGGCACCAGCAGCGGGGCCUGCCGCUGCGCCUGACCCUGCCUCCCCGGCUAUCGGCGAGUUCUCUCCUCGCACGCCCCAGCCUUUCAUGGAGUACGUGAGGAAGACUGUCGACGACACGCCUUACUACAAGCGUGACGCGAGGAGGCGAUUCAACCCUCAAAAUACGUACUGA
rnacentral:rRNA from 1 species